UUGAGUAUAAAAUAAACAUGCAAGUCUAAUUGUUAUGAAUCACUCCUCUGACAUGGUGGUGUAUUGGUUUCUCUGUUGCAGGUGAUGUAACAUCGAUGGACGCCUACUUGAUAAAGUUCUUCCCAGUCGUCUAUCGAAAGACCAAAGAUCCUGGUUUGGACAGCCAUUACUGCAAAUACGACAACCACGGCCUUCAGCUAUUGAUCACAUCAUCGUUGUAUCUGGCUGGCUUGAUUUCGUCCUUCUUCGCAUCCUACACCACAAGAAACCUCGGUCGGAGGCUGACCAUGCUCAUUGCAGGGAUUUUCUUCAUCAUUGGCGUGGUGCUAAAUGCAGCUGCCCAGAACCUUGCCAUGCUCAUUAUAGGAAGGAUCUUCCUGGGGUGUGGAGUCGGCUUCGCUAAUUAGAGGAAAGCUUCCACUGCCGAUGACGCACCAGAUCUCUCCCAACUACAGCUCCAUCAUGUUGGCUGAUUUCUCGGAGAUGGACCAGAGGCUUCAGUUGUUGCAGUCAAGAUCUAACAAUCUGAAUUAGAAUCCAGUGAUGACGGUUGAUCAAAGCUUCAGUUGUUGAAUUCUUUUUUUUUCCUAGAUUUCUAUUCCAAAUAGAAACUAAAAUUUCAAUUUGAAAAGUCGCUGUGAUUCUCAUGUUUUUCUCCAUGAGUUGUUACCUUAUGAGAACAAAAAUGCAAGCCAUUUGAUCAAUGGCCACUGAAUAUGCAAA